AUGGGAGCUGUCACCCAGCAUAUGAUGCUGCCUCUGCUGUUUACCAAGGAUGGGGAGAGAUUGAUGGUCACCCCAGUUAAUAUCCUAUUUACAGCGGGCAUCUGUCAGCCUCCCUUUAUGGGUCAUGCCCCUCUCCCAAACUGAGACGCACCGCGCUGCUCCUCUACCCAUCAGCCCAUACAAAUGCUGACCCAACGACCCUGCUGAGGACACACUCUGACCUGGCCACAGCUGGAUCCGCCAGAAGUUCCCUUCUUCAUCAGAAAGAACUCCUCUGCAAAGGUCAGCAGCUGCCCUUGGGUUCCCGUGUCGCCGUCAUGCAGGGAGAGAAGGACAUGUCAGGAACCAGUUCUGCAACACAGUGUUGAUACCCUUCACAUUCAAUGCAGGAGGAAACGUUUGAGCGACAUUGAGGGAACUCUCAUCAUAAAUCUGCCCAAAAACAGAACAAAGGGAA